rnacentral:rRNA from 1 species
CACGUAGGGACCAAGCGUUGUCCGGAUUCAUUGGGCGUAAAGAGCUCGUAGGCGGUUCGAUAAGUCGGGUGUGAAACCUCCAGGCUCAACCUGGAGACGCCACCCGAUACUGUCGUGACUAGAGUCCAGUAGGGGAGCGUGGAAUUCCUGGUGUAGCGGUGAAAUGCGCAGAUAUCAGGAGGAACACCAGCAGCGAAGGCGGCGCUCUGGGCUGGAACUGACGCUGAGGAGCGAAAGCGUGGGUAGCAAACAGG